GGUGGGUAAGUCUACCUAAUAAUUCAUGGAUAAAAUUUCAGAAGGCUCCCUUGGCUGCAGACCCAAAGCCACAUUCUUUAAAAAGCAUCAUCAGCACUAAAGAUGGCAUUUUUGUAUCUAUCAGCCUUACUUCUUUCUUUCUAACUGGUUUUGAAUUUGGGAAUGAAAGAGGAGUUAUUUACUGGGUCCUCAAAUCUCAAGAGUGGUUAGGAGUUGCCUUGCAUAUCUUAUAGUUUCAGUGAAUAUUUACUGAAGAUAUAUAUGCAAAAAUGUUAUAAGAAAACUUAACAAAAGAAAAUGUGUAAAUGUACAUAAUAAUCCUAUGAAAUUAGUGUUGUUAUAGACCCCAAGUCACAGGAGAAACUUGUGUUCAAGAAGUUCAAAAAGCAAAAACGUGAUAAGAAGGAAACAAACAAUAAAAUAUAUGAUCUUAUUUCUUCAUGAGUGGAUAUUUGACCAUAUCUGACCCCAUCUAAUUUUUGAGAAACAGUCCAAAACAUGAUAUGCAGAAAUUUCUAUAUGAAUUCUCAGAGCAAAGUAAUCUAAACUAUAUUCAAGUCAGGCACAGUGGCCCAUGCCUAUAAUCCUAGGGACUUGGGGAGCCAAGGCAGGAGGAUCACAAGUUCAAGGCCAGCCUCAGCAAUUUAGCAAAGCUCUAAGAAACUUAGUGAGACCCUGUUUUCAAAAUAGAAAGGACUUAGCAUAUGGAAAUUGGUUUUUCAACCAUGUAGAACAUAGAAAGUUUUUCCCAGAUAUUUUAUAGGCCAAAUGAAAACCUAAGACGUGAAAACCUAAGAGGAAGGACUCUUCCUUUAUAUGUACCAAAAUAAACUUGAAGGGCACCAUGACACUGUUUCACAAGUUCUUCCCCAUUUUUACAACCAAAUAUUUAAGCUAUUAUUCCUUUAUGAGUUAUUAAAAAAAACAUUCAAAAUGAACUGCUUCCAUGUAAAAAUUCAUCAUACAACUAGCCAUCUGCCUGCAGUUGAAAAAGGGAACUGUGUGUAGAAUCAUAAUAGCAAGGGGACCUGACCAGCUUCCACAGUGACUUUAAGGUGUUACCAUUUUAAUUCACCCUCACAAAUGCACAAAGAGCCUGUGAAAACUAGUGUUAUCAACCCCAAGUCAGGGGAGAAACUUGUGUUCAAGAAGUUCAACUCCUUGACCAAGAUUAUCAGCUGAUUAACAAUAAUGGCAUUGAGAUAGAAACCCAGGUCUUCUAAAACUUAGUUGCUAUCCGUUCCAUUCAGUCAUGAUUCUGGAAUAAGGAUGCUAAGAUGUUCACACUUUCCCCUGCAGGUUUACAGUCUCUGGUCCUGAGACCUGGACACUUAAGCAAGACCCGAAUAAAAUAAGCAGGAGCAUACAGAAGUGCUAGUUAAUUCACUGCCUCCAGAUUCCUCCAACCUUUCUCUAUUCCUGCAGGCUCCUUUUAAGGAAGAAAACUAUGAGAAAGUAUCACCAGAGUGGAAAUAACACGCAGCAAUGUGAUACUGGGAACCUCACUGAAAAGGCAUCCAUGACAGACCACGAAUACUGGGUAAGAAAAGUGAGGAAGAGAAUUGAAAAGAUGGCACUGUGGAGAAGAUAUUACCUAAUAUAUUCAAGGGAAAGCAUUUUCUGAAACUUCCUCUUGUUAACAAUUCAAAAAACAAAAAACAAACAAACAACAAAACACAACUUUGAUUAUAAUGGAAAGAAACCCAGAAGUAAUUAGCUCUUCAUCUACUCAAGUGUCCUCGUGAUUGGAUUGGCAUGGGGAUAGGACAGAGCUUUCAGCAGAGAGAUUCACCUGGAAAGUACAUAAUGAAGUAGAGCCAUGCCAUAUAGAUGGAUGGGACUGGGCUGGCUUAUCCCUGCCUCUGAGAGGCUUUGGUGAAGGGGCUGAGUCCAAGAAGUUUACAGUGAGGAAGAAGAUGAAGCCACCAAAGUUCCCAAGCGCCAAAAACAUCACGGUGUUUCUCCAAAUCGAAGUUGAAAUUGAAAUGAUAAACCAUAAAAUAACUUUAUGGAAGUCAGUGAAGGUCUGCUUUUACCCAUGGCAACCCACUUGGGGUGUUUUGGAUAAGUACUGAAUACAAAUUCUUUUAAAAAUAUUUCCUACUGGGCACCAAUCUCCAGGUGCCCUGAAUACUUGUCGAGUCUGGCUACCUGGUGAUCUAGUCCUGCUUGCACCAAGGAUUCCCUCCAGGUCCACUGAAGCAGGAAAGCUAGCAUGGGCAGGUGAGGUGGAGGGGAAGCUGGAUUUCCGUUCCUGCCCUGUCUCCAACUGGCAGCUGAACCUUAGGCCAGUUCUCACCACAGGGCUCUAGUUUCUACCCUGUGGAAGGAGAAGACUGGGCUCAGACCAUUUCUGAAGUUCUCUCUAGAUUUAGGCUGGCAGGAAUCAGUUUCUAAGCUUACUGUAAUGCAUCACUGCUGAUCCCCAGCUGUCCUCAGUGUUGCCCCACCCUUUCAUUCUUACUGUACCAUGCUGCUCAGUGCUGUGCUCAGUGCUGCAGGUCAGCAGAGCUAGGGAGAAUGGACCCCUUCGUAUCACACUUUAUGAUGAAGCCAUUCGGUUUUCUGACAGGAUUCACUGGGCUAAAAAUGUAUGAGGCACAGUCUGUUCCCCAUCCUGCAGGAAGUCUGGCUGUUAUCAGAGCACGUGAAAAUUCAUGGCACAAAAGCCCACAGCACAAGAAUUAGGUACCCCUUAUCCUUCCUGUCCCCUUUCUGCCUCCACUCACCAGAAGGACAGAAAUCACCACUGGAUAUCUGGCUUCGUGAUUCUUGAUUGCUGAGAUGGUGGGUAUAAUUGUGAAGCAAACAGGGAGAAGACAAGACACCUACACUGACUAAGGCCUACACUGACAAGACACCUAAGCUGCUAAGGGUAGGUAGUCUGGAAGGGAUGCUGUUGUAGCUUUGAUGGUUGGAAAACUGGGACAGGCACAAAAAAUGACGUGGGGCUAAAGAGAAGCUCCAGUUUGGUGCUCCCUGCAGUUUGUAGUUAAACUUUUUGAUUUAAAUUAUAAUUCAGACCUCCAGAGCUGUAAAGACUUUCUUGAGAAGAACAGCCUUCCUCGCUCUGCUUUGGAAAUUCUGUGUCACUAUAUUUCAAGAUCGGCCUCAAAUGUUAAGCAUACACUACACCUGACCUGAACAAAGGCCUAUUUUUAACCGUGGAUUUUUGAUGACGUAUAAAAAUCACUCAACUUCAUUCCUCUUCCAAACCCCAAAUAUCUACACAAAAUCAGGCAAAAAAGAAUACACCUGAUGAUGGUUUUAAUCUACAUCUCUCACCUUCUUUACCCUCUGAAUUCUCUCCAAUGAAGCCUUUACCCAACAAACACUUAUUUCUCCCAAGGGAAAGCAAUAAUUGAAUAAAACAGGGUUGGCAUCAGCAUCACAAUGUCCCCCUUCUGGGUUCUCUUUGCUCACUGCUUUCUCUGCCUGAAACAUCCGGUUUUCUGGUUCUCCUUUUUGGUUUUAUCUCUGUCUGCAUCAGUGCCUGUUGGAGGUAUUCUUGAAAUCUCCAUGCCAGUAACCCUGCUAAUCCUUCCUUGAUUCUCCCAGAGCAUCCUCUGCAUUUCUGCCCUUCCAAACUUUUCAACAAUUGCCUGCUUUUGUGUAUCUGUCACUGAACUGUAAAUCUGUGCAGGACAGGGAUUAUAACCUACGUUUGCUUUUCCAGGGCCUAGUACAGCACCCAGCACAAGGAAGGAGUGCAAUAAAUACACAGUUGUAAGGCUUACCACAGUCUUUAGCUGGAUUCUUAAGAGUGACACUGUAAGGCAGGAAUCACUGGUCUCCUUUUACAAAGAAACUGUUGCUCAGAGGGGUUUUUUUUAUAGACUCUCUGAGCCUUUCAGUUCUGACACCUAUGGCUCCUAGGUUCGAUUUUCACAGGACCACAUUCUAAUCAGCUGACUGUACAAAUAUAGCAGACAAAGGCGAAAGCACUGAUCCUCUGAUGUGGGCGAAUGCUAGAGACCCACACAAGUGAAGUACAAACAUACAAAACAUUCUAAUAUGGGCAGAAUAACUGUUCUGAAAGCAGGAAUGCUGAUCAGAUAUGGAGACAGAGUUUACAUCAAUUCUUUUCUCAAGGACCUUUUGGUCCUAGAGCUCUGCAGAAAUGUCUGGGUACACAUGAAUUAGAUACAAACAAAGUUUAUCUGGUUAUAAGGUCAUGAAACAAACUGUCUCUGGUGAACUGCCAACACUGCCUCAGACAUCUUGAAAGAGCUGCUCAUGGGACAGCUGCAAGCUGCCAAAGUAGAAGUAACGUGGAUGUGGCUGAUUCCCCAUUAGGCUCAGGAAGCAACAAGGGGCAGGAAAUGCAGGCAGCUAACAGGCAGGCCGGGCGGGUGUGGGUCUUGACUCUUUGUGACCCUGUGGAGCACUUGAGCUUCUCCUCAGCUUAGGAAAGUGGUUUUUAGCACAGCUGUACCCUGUAAUGGCAUGAAGUAGCCUCUUAAAAGCACCCAAAGCUAGCUGUUGCAUUAGUUGGCCUAGGGUGGCCCUUGUGUGGGCAUUUGAGUUGAUUACAAGCUCCUCUGCAAUUCUCACAUGCAGCCAGUACUAAAGGCCUGGGUGUUUUCAAAAUAGCUCACCUGGUUGAUCCAAAAUUAAAAUGACAAGCACAAUAGUAACACCAUUUGAAACUUUCUUUAUCCUAUAUCCACUAGUGUUUAAGACACUUAGGUAAACAGCCAUUUAAGUUAGGUCAUUGGGGGCAUGUCCUUGAAGAACAGAUUGGGAUCCCAGCCCUUCCUUUUUCUCUCCGUUUUGCUUCCUGGCUGUCUUGAGGUGAACAGGAAUCUUCUGAGCACCCCAACUAGGAUGAACUCUGCCACCACAGGCUCAAAGUAUCAGGGCCAAGGACCAUGAAUUGAAAUCUCUGAAACCCUGAACAAAUAAACCCUGAAUAAAAUAAACCUUUGCUCCUUUAAGUUGAAAAUCUCAGGUAUUUUGUCACAGAGAUAAAGAGCUGACUUAGUGUACCUAUAAAUGACACA